rnacentral:rRNA from 1 species
AUUGAACGCUGGCGGCAGGCCUAACACAUGCAAGUCGAGCGGAUGAAGGGAGCUUGCUCCUGGAUUCAGCGGCGGACGGGUGAGUAAUGCCUAGGAAUCUGCCUGGUAGUGGGGGAUAACGUCCGGAAACGGGCGCUAAUACCGCAUACGUCCUGCGGGAGAAAGUGGGGGAUCUUCGGACCUCACGCUAUCAGAUGAGCCUAGGUCGGAUUAGCUAGUUGGUGGGGUAAAGGCCUACCAAGGCGACGAUCCGUAACUGGUCUGAGAGGAUGAUCAGUCACACUGGAACUGAGACACGGUCCAGACUCCUACGGGAGGCAGCAGUGGGGAAUAUUGGACAAUGGGCGAAAGCCUGAUCCAGCCAUGCCGCGUGUGUGAAGAAGGUCUUCGGAUUGUAAAGAACUUUAAGUUGGGAGGAAGGGCAGUAAGUUAAUACCUUGCUGUUUUGACGUUACCAACAGAAUAAGCACCGGCUAACUUCGUG